GACGAACGCUGGCGGCGUGCCUAAUACAUGCAAGUAGAACGCUGAAGCGAGGAGCUUGCUCUUCUUGGAUGAGUUGCGAACGGGUGAGUAACGCGUAGGUAACCUGCCUUGUAGCGGGGGAUAACUAUUGGAAAUGAUAGCUAAUACCGCAUAACAAUGGAUGACACAUGUCAUUUAUUUGAAAGGGGCAAUUGCUCCACUACAAGAUGGACCUGCGUUGUAUUAGCUAGUAGGUGAGGUAAUGGCUCACCUAGGCGACGAUACAUAGCCGACCUGAGAGGGUGAUCGGCCACACUGGGACUGAGACACGGCCCAGACUCCUACGGGAGGCAGCAGUAGGGAAUCUUCGGCAAUGGGGGCAACCCUGACCGAGCAACGCCGCGUGAGUGAAGAAGGUUUUCGGAUCGUAAAGCUCUGUUGUAAGUCAAGAACGGGUGUGAGAGUGGAAAGUUCACACUGUGACGGUAGCUUACCAGAAAGGGACGGCUAACUACGUG
rnacentral:rRNA from 1 species